rnacentral:rRNA from 1 species
UCGAGAAUAGUCUACAAUGGUCGAAAGACUGAUAGUGCGACGCCGCGUGAACGAUGAAGCCCUUCGGGGUGUAAAGUUCUUUUAUAUGUGAGCAAUGCCUGGUAUAUGAAUAGUAUAUUGGGAGCGAUAUUAGCAUAUGAAUAAGCAACGGCUAACUCCGUGCCAGCAGCCGCGGUAACACGGGGGUUGCAAGCGUUGUCCGGAAUUACUAGGCGUAAAGGGCAGGUAGGCGGAUAGAUAAGUUUGAUGUUAAAGGCGACGGCUUACCCGUCGUAAGGCAUUAGAUACUGUUUAUCUGGAAUGCGGUUGGGGAAGACAGAAUUCCUGGUGUAGCGGUGGAAUGCGCAGAGAUCAGGAGGAAUACCAAAAGCGAAGGCAGUCUUCUAAGCCGUUAUUGACGCUAAACUGCGAAGGUGUGGGUAUCAAACAGG